GCUGUUACGCAUACCACCUUGAAUGCGCCCGAUCUCGUCUGAUCUCGGAAGCUAAGCAGGGUCAGGCCUGGUUAGUACUUGGAUGGGUGACCGCCUGGGAAUACCAGGAGCUGUAAGCU
rnacentral:rRNA from 1 species